GCCUGGGUGGCUUAGUCGGUUAAGCGUCCGACUUUGGCUCAGGUCAUGAUCUCACGGUUCGUGGGUUCGAGCCCUGCAUCAGGCU
rnacentral:tRNA from 1 species